rnacentral:rRNA from 1 species
CCUACGGGUGGCAGCAGUGAGGAAUAUUGGUCAAUGGGCGGGAGCCUGAACCAGCCAAGCCGCGUGAGGGAAGAAGGUACAGCGUAUCAUAAACCUCUUUUGUCAGGGAACAAAGGCGGGGACUAGUCCCCGGAUGAGGGUACCUGAAGAAAAAGCCUCGGCUAACUCCGUGCCAGCAGCCGCGGUAAUACGGGGGAUGCGAGCGUUAUCCGGAUUUAUUGGGUUUAAAGGGUGCGCAGGGGGCCUGUUAAGUCAGCGGUAAGAGCCCGGGGCUCAACCCCGGCGAGCCGUUGAAACUGGCGGGCUGGAGUUGGAGAGAAGUACGCGGAAUGCGCGGUGUAGCGGUGAAAUGCUUAGAUAUCGCGCAGAACACCGAUUGCGAAGGCAGCUUACCAAGCUACUUCUGACGUUGAGGCACGAAAGCGUGGGGAGCAAACAGGAUUAGAUACCCCAGUAGUC